AUUGAACGCUGGCGGGAUGCUUUACACAUGCAAGUCGAACGGCAGCACGGACUUCGGUCUGGUGGCGAGUGGCGAACGGGUGAGUAAUGUAUCGGAACGUGCCUAGUAGCGGGGGAUAACUACGCGAAAGCGUAGCUAAUACCGCAUACGCCCUUCGGGGGAAAGCGGGGGACCUUCGGGCCUCGCACUAUUAGAGCGGCCGAUAUCGGAUUAGCUAGUUGGUGGGGUAAGGGCUCACCAAGGCGACGAUCCGUAGCUGGUUUGAGAGGACGACCAGCCACACUGGGACUGAGACACGGCCCAGACUCCUACGGGAGGCAGCAGUGGGGAAUUUUGGACAAUGGGGGAAACCCUGAUCCAGCCAUCCCGCGUGUGCGAUGAAGGCCUUCGGGUUGUAAAGCACUUUUGGCAGGAAAGAAACGGCACGGGCUAAUAUCCCGUGCAACUGACGGUACCUGCAGAAUAAGCACCGGCUAACUACGUGCCAGCAGCCGCCGUAUAC
rnacentral:rRNA from 1 species